GACGAACGCUGGCGGCGUGCUUAACACAUGCAAGUCGAACGAUGAAGCCGGAGCUUGCUCUGGUGAAUUAGUGGCGAACGGGUGAGUAACACGUGAGUAACCCGCCCUUGACUCUGGGAUAACUGCGGGAAACUGUAGCUAAUACCGGAUACGACCCUCGGAGGCAUCUCCUGGGGGGUGGCAAGAAUUUCGGUCAAGGAUGGACUCGCGGCCUAGCAGCUAGUUGGUGAGGUAAAGGCUCACCAAGGCGACGACGGGUAGCCGGCCUGAGAGGGGGACCGGCCACACUGGGACUGAGACACGGCCCAGACUCCUACGGGAGGCAGCAGUGGGGAAUAUUGCACAAUGGGCGCAAGCCUGAUGCAGCAACGCCGCGUGAGGGAUGACGGCCUUCGGGUUGUAAACCUCUUUUAGCAGGGAAGAAGCGAAAGUGACGGUACCUGCAGAAAAAGCACCGGCUAACUACGUGCCAGCCGCCGCAGUAA
rnacentral:rRNA from 1 species